GACGAACGCUGGCGGCGUGCUUAACACAUGCAAGUCGAACGGUGAAGCGCCUUCCUUUUUGGUGGGUGUGGAUGAGUGGCGAACGGGUGAGUAACACGUGAGUAACCUGCCCCCUUCUUCUGGAUAACCGCAUGAAAGUGUGACUAAUACGGGAUAUUCUGGGUCUGUCGCAUGAUGGGUCUGGGAAAGAUAUUGUUUCGGUGGGGGAUGGGCUCGCGGCCUAUCAGCUUGUUGGUGGGGUGAUGGCCUACCAAGGCGGUGACGGGUAGCCGGCCUGAGAGGGUGGACGGUCACACUGGGACUGAGACACGGCCCAGACUCCUACGGGAGGCAGCAGUGGGGAAUAGUGCACAAUGGGCGCAAGCCUGAUGCAGCGACGCCGCGUGAGGGAUGGAGGCCUGCGGGUUGUGAACCUCUUUCGCCAGUGAAGCAGGCCUGCCUCGUUUGUGGGUGGGUUGACGGUAGCUGGAUAAGAAGCGCCGGCUAACUACGUG
rnacentral:rRNA from 1 species